AUGUUUUUAGUAACACCGGUGCUGUUGCUGCUGUUGCCCUGGAUCUCACUGCAAGCUGUCGCAGAGGUUUGCCGGGGGACGCACUGCUUCGGCGCGGACACCGGCGAUCCAAGACCGUGCACCGGAGCGCGCUGCCCGGGGAGCAGAACCUCCAGACCGCCGCGGCAGCACGACCCGACGACGCACGGGAGACCGGCGCAGAUCGUGGCCGGCCAGCACCACGCACACCCGGGCUCCCCGGCGGCGGCGGCGGCGGCGGCGCGCGUUCUCCCCGCGGGAUGCGCGGACGCGGAGUGCGCCGCCGCCGUGAAGCGGUCUCAGCCCUCCAACGACACCCGGGACUGCAGAGGGAUCGAGUGCCGACUGCCGCAGAAGAUACGGCCGAGAGUCCGCGCGCGGUCCUGUGCGGGAGACGGCUGCAGCUCGGAGGAGAGCGCCAGCCAGCUUCCCCCCGUCCAUCUGUCCGACAGAGCCGCGCAGUUUCUGGGAGAUUUCCCGGAGCUCGGGUACCCGUCAUCGGAACUUGGCGGCGCGCCUCUGGGUGUCCAGCUCACGUGUGACAUCAAACCAGGCGAGAACGAAGUUCCCUCAGAAGAUGCCCUCAUCUUGCACCUCCAGCUGUCCAAGGGGCAGGAGAAGCUGGUGGAGGCCCUUCGCGCCCAGCAGACGGUCAUCCGCGACCUGCAGCAGAAGCUCGCCGACCAACAGGAGGCGCUGCUGUCGCAGCAGAGGGAGAUCCUGGACCAGCAGCGGCGCAUGUAUGAGCAGAUGGACGUGGUGAAGGCCCAGUACGGCCUGCUCUCGGACACCGUCAAGCAGGUGUCCUUCCAGGGCCUGCAGGGCGAGCUGCAGAGCUACUUCGAGAACCACCUGGCGGGUCUGCAGAGCCAGGCCCGCAGCCACCUGCAGAAGUCCUACGCCGUGCACAAGGUGGACGCGGACGCGAAGGCGAUGGAUGUCGUCGGAGAGGCUCGUUUUCCUCAACCUCUGCAGGCCUGCCCGUCGCCUUGUGGGCGGGAGGAGUUCUGUGAUUUCCAGAGGGACCCGCCUCAGUGUGAGAAGUGCACCAUGUGUCCACCGGGCUUCUUUCUCAUCUCGCAGUGUUCUCCUACAGCAGACCGGAUGUGCCAGGACAGAGACGAAUGCCUGGAAGUACCAAACAUUUGUGGAGAGCGAGUGAAGUGUCUCAAUACUCCAGGGGGGUUCAGGUGUCUGGGGGUUUCUGAGCGAGAAGCAGCGACGGGCUUCUGUGGUCCCGACUACUUCUACAACCAGGAGCUGCAGGAGUGUCAGGCCUGCAGCGACUGCGACGGAGAGCCCGUCUCGGCUCCCUGCGCGGCCGUCACCGACGCCGUCUGCGGCCGGCCUUCGCAGAUCCGACUCUCUCAGUCGUGGGGGGCCAGCGUGGGAGUACCGCCCGCCAGGUCCUCCGGAGGCCACAUCUUCCCCGGGCUUCAGCUCAACAUCCGGGGCAAAGAGAAAAUCGACCUGCUGUCCAACGAGGCCGGGCAGGUGACGUUCCUGCAGCACGGCCUCGUGUGGUUGGAUCACAACUUUGCCAUAAAGCACAGCUGCAGGAACUUCCUUCAGGUGGGCAUGAGGCUCAACGGGAGCCAGGAGGAGGAGGGGGGUCGCGACCUCAGCGGCGUUCGCAUCGAACAGCCGGACGGGAAACACUUCCAGGGCGUCAGCGUCAGCAGCGGCGUCGAGGUGGAGCCCGACCACAUCUUCACUCUGCUGCUGAGGAGCCCGAAUCAACACUGCAACCAGAGCAAGGACCUCCACCUGUACGACAUCGCCGCCCCGUCCGUCAGCCUGCUGUGGCUGUCGCACGACACCGGCGCCGUGGCCAUGACGGCCCACAUGUCCCUGCUGACGCACUACCAGACCAGCUACCGCCCGACCUUCCGCGUGACCUCGGUGUCCGACCCUUACAUGGUCGCUCUGACGCACGACAACCGCGGCGUGCGCUUCACGGAGAGCGGCGUGGUGAAGUUCGUCCUGCAACAGGCGCUUUACUCCAUGGGCCACACCUGCGUACGAGAGGGUUUCUCCCUGAUCGCCUACGUCAGCCGCAACGGGACCGGCCAGGAGGCGACGCAGGCGUUCAAGGCGGGCGUCAACUACCGGGACACGUCCAUCACCCUCUCCGGCGCCGUGAGAGUGGGCGGCGGCGACACGCUCAGCUUUGAGAUCACGUCUCCGUCGCAGUGCAACAUCCGCUACUUCGGGGACAGCAGCGGGAUCAGCGUGCUGAGCCUCAUCUGGGUUCCCUCGGCGGUGUCGUCGGCGCUGAGCGCCACCGUGUCCCGGACGGGCCUCCCCUCCGGGGCGGUCAGGAACAAGCCGGAGGAACUUUGUCUUCCACGAGAGAGGGACGGCGAACGUGGCGCUCAACCUGAAGCUGAUACACUCCUGCAACGUUGUGAAGGUCACCUUGCAGCGGGCGGGCGGUCCGGGCGGGCAGGCGGGUCCUGUGGCUCAGCAGGUGGCCGGAGCGAUGCCCGAAGGGAGCGAGUGGGCCAGCAUCGGGCUGAGGGCCUCGUUCCCGGUGCAGAACGGCACGGCGGUCUACGUCACGCUGGACUGUGUCCGCGGGCGAGUUAA
ensembl:lncRNA